CCUGCUCUGGGUACUGGGUUAUUGGUCUUUUUUGCUUUUGAAUGGGAAGUGAUGGACGGACAGGCAAAGAGGAGAGGGGAGGAGGCUGGGAAGGCAGCCCAUCACUGUCCGAUACUGGGGAGCUCCUACGCCCUCCUCCAUUCCCACGAGCCCUGCUAAGGGAGGAUGAACUGAGCAAAGGAGCCUUCGGAGUCACAGCUGGACUCAGCGUCCUAAGGACCAGGAUUGAGGGUUUCCAAAGCACGUAGGAGACAUUCAGUUGGAACUGCUGAACCUUUUCACACCUUAAGCUUGUCUCUUAGGACACAUUCCUGAAAUGGCUGCCAGGGCUUUGCCUCUGGGUCUGGAGAAGACAACUUUCCUGUAAGGGAUACUGACGGCCUGUGUCGGAGGAGAAAACUUCCCACCGCCGGUUCUGAGCCGGCGCUCAUGGACGGAGGCACAUGUCAAUUGCGUGCCCAAGUCUACAUGGAGGAGCACGGAGAAGUUCUUGUUCUAGUUCUUUUCAUUAUAAAUCCUGCUACAAGGACAACGGAAGGGAAAUGGUCCCACAUUUUCACUGAAAAGUCUGGGGAGGGGAGGAAAGAGUAAACGUCUUUGCGAUCAGAUU